rnacentral:rRNA from 1 species
CCCUUUGUGUACCUACCUCUGUUGCUUUGGCGGGCCGCGGUCCUCCGCGGCCGCCCCCCUCCCCGGGGGGGUGGCCAGCGCCCGCCAGAGGACCAUCAAACUCCAGUCAGUAAACGAUGCAGUCUGAAAAACAUUUAAUAAACUAAAACUUUCAACAACGGAUCUCUUGGUUCUGGCAUCGAUGAAGAACGCAGCGAAAUGCGAUAAGUAAUGUGAAUUGCAGAAUUCAGUGAAUCAUCGAAUCUUUGAACGCACAUUGCGCCCUUUGGUAUUCCGAAGGGCAUGCCUGUUCGAGCGUCAUUACAACCCUCAAGCUCUGCUUGGUAUUGGGCACCGUCCUUUGCGGGCGCGCCUCAAAGACCUCGGCGGUGGCGUCUUGCCUCAAGCGUAGUAGAACAUACAUCUCGCUUCGGAGCGCAGGGCGUCGCCCGCCGGACGAACCUUCUGAACUUUUCUCAAGGUUGACCUCGGAUCAGGUAGGGAUACCCGCUGAACUUAAGCAUAUCAAUAAGCGGAGGA